rnacentral:rRNA from 1 species
AGCGAACGCUGGCGGCAGGCCUAACACAUGCAAGUCGAACGAACCUUUCGGGGUUAGUGGCGGACGGGUGAGUAACACGUGGGAACGUGCCUUUAGGUUCGGAAUAACUCAGGGAAACUUGUGCUAAUACCGAAUAUGCCCUUCGGGGGAAAGAUUAAUCGCCUUUAGAGCGGCCCGCGUCUGAUUAGCUAGUUGGUUGAGGUAAUGGCUCACCAAGGCGACGAUCAGUAGCUGGUCUGAGAGGAUGAUCAGCCACAUUGGGACUGAGACACGGCCCAAACUCCUACGGGAGGCAGCAGUGGGGAAUCUUGCGCAAUGGGCGAAAGCCUGACGCAGCCAUGCCGCGUGAAUGAUGAAGGUCUUAGGAUUGUAAAAUUCUUUCACCGGGGACGAUAAUGACGGUACCCGGAGAAGAAGCCCCGGCUAACUUCGUG